rnacentral:rRNA from 1 species
UACGAGGGGGGCGAGCGUUUGUUCGGAAUUAUUGGGCGUAAAGGGUGCGUAGGCGGUUUGGUAAGUCUCGUGUGAAAUCUACAGGCUCAACUUGUAGUCUGCACGAGAAACUGCCGGGCUUGAGUAUGGGAGAGGUGAGUGGAACUGCGAGUGUAGAGGUGAAAUUCGUAGAUAUUCGCAAGAACACCAGUGGCGAAGGCGGCUCACUGGCCCGGUACUGACGCUGAGGUGCGAAAGCGUGGGGAGCAAACAGGG